UUUUCCUUUCUAUUGCUUUAUUGUUCUCAUUUUCAAAGAUGGCUGCAAAUCUUGACUUCACAAGCCUUGCUCAUGUUGAACCUUUCAAAACCCAAUGGGGGAUUCAAGUUAAGAUAUUGCAUUCGUGGACUCAGUAUACUGGAGAGACCAUGGACAUGAUUCUCGCCAAUGAAUAUGUACUUUGAUUCAUGCAUCUUUCAGAAAGCAACUUUUGUAAGCUAAAGAGGUUCUAUUCGAACUGGAGAAUGGUGAAUUAUCGAAAACUUCACACUAUCAACAGCUAUGGAAAAGUAUCGGGCAACCAAACAUGCCUACAAAAUAUCUCUCAUGAACAAAACCUAGAAGUCCUUGUGCUUCAAUCUUAGAUGAUAUGUAUUUUGAUUUUACUACCUUUGAUGAUAUAUAUCUUGAAUGAGGAAGGGUUGAACGAUAAUUUCUUGAUUGGUAAUUAUAUAAAUUAUAACUAUGUAAAUGUUUUGAUA